rnacentral:ncRNA from 1 species
CUCUGAUUAACAUAAUAAUCAGGGCCGAAGGAG